UAAGACAGAGGGUGCAAACGUUGUUCGGAAUUACUGGGCGUAAAGCGCGUGUAGGCGGCUAUGUAAGUCGGGCGUGAAAUCCCACGGCUCAACCGUGGAAGUGCACCCGAAACUGCGUAGCUAGAGUCCUGGAGAGGAAGGUGGAAUGCUUGGUGUAGAGGUGAAAUUCGUAGAUAUCAAGCGGAACACCGGUGGCGAAGGCGGCCUUCUGGACAGUGACUGACGCUGAGACGCGAAAGCGUGGGGAGCAAACAGGAUUAGAUACCC
rnacentral:rRNA from 1 species